rnacentral:misc_RNA from 1 species
AAAAAAAAAAAAAAAAAAACUAAACUCUCAUGCAAAUUUUAAACAGCAGACAACUUAUAAUUAUGUCUACAAGCGUAUUUGACGACCUCUUCUAACUCCUCUUCAUUGAUGUAGCCAUCUCCGUUUCUGUCAGCAUGAUGCAGGGCUCGCUGAGCUCGCCAUCCAGGAAGUCGGGAACCUAAGUGAUUGAAGGCUUUUAUAAGCUCUUGCCUACUUAGAAGUCCAUCCCUGUCUGUGUCAAAAUGCCUAAAGAUAUCUUUUAGUUGAGGUUCAGUAAGGGGAAGAGGACAGCAUUUGCACUUGAUGUGGAAGAGAGCCAUCUUCUUGAUAUGUUUUGGCAAGAAUUUGGAUUGAUUAAUCGCUUGGUCUGAUAUCUAAGAAGGGAUGAGAGCUGGGGUCUA